rnacentral:rRNA from 1 species
AGUGAACGCUGGCGGUAGGCCUAACACAUGCAAGUCGAACGGCAGCACAGGAGAGCUUGCUCUCUGGGUGGCGAGUGGCGGACGGGUGAGGAAUACAUCGGAAUCUACUCUGUCGUGGGGGAUAACGUAGGGAAACUUACGCUAAUACCACAUACGACCUACGGGUGAAAGCGGGGGACCUUCGGGCCUUGCGCGAUUGACUGAGGCGAUGUCGGAUUAGCUAGUUGGCGGGGUAAAGGCCCACCAAGGCGACGAUCCGUAGCUGGUCUGAGAGGAUGAUCGGCCACACUGGAACUGAGACACGGUCCAGACUCCGACGGGAGGCAGCAGUGGGGAAUAUUGGACAAUGGGCGCAAGCCUGAUCCAGCCAUACCGCGUGGGUGAAGAAGGCCUUCGGGUUGUAAAGCCCUUUUGUUGGGAAAGAAAUCCAGCUGGCUAAUACCCGGUUGGGAUGACGGUACCCAAAGAAUAAGCACCGGCUAACUUCGUGCCAGCCGCCGCCGUAA